AUGUGUGGCAGUAGCAAAAAAAGGAAAAUGAUUGAUCUCAUUGAGUUGCCUCCCGAUCUCAAUGAGAUUCCUCAUGAUAUGGAUCAGCAGCAACCCGGCGUACCACUAGGAGCUAGUGCUGAUUAUGGGAGAGAAAAUGAGCACUCUGUUUACUACACACAGACAAGUCGUGGGCCUAACCCUAUGGGCCAUGACAAUGUGGCAGGGCAGUCAUCAACCUGUGGUGCCCCUGUAGUGGUGUCUUUGCAGUCAGAGAGCCAUACUCUUGAUGACACGGGCAGUGCGGCAAAUGUUCCUGGUCCAACUAGGACUAAGCUAGGAGCAGGUGCUGUUGACGGUGAUGUGCAAGGAGAAGAAGGAGAGGAUGAGGCUGGUUCUCAACCCAUGGAACCCUAUGUUGGCAUGAGGUUUGACAACCUUCAAAUUGCUAAGGAUCACUACAACAGCUACGCCCUAUGGAUGGGUUUCUCUGUCAAGAUGAACACCUCUAGGCGGACAACUCUCACCAAUGUAUUGGUAAAACAACAAUUUUGUUGCAACAAGUACAAGAAGACCAAAGCUAAUGAUGGAGGAGUUGAGGCUCCUCCUAUCCUGGACCCCAUACCAGAUCCAAAACCUGUUGAUAGUGAUGAGGAAAUGGAAGAUGAACCUCCAAUCUUUGCUGAAGAGGAGGCUGGUCCUAGUAAGAAAAAUAAGAAUUGGAAACACGAGACAAUAAAGUAG
rnacentral:rRNA from 1 species